GAUCAUGGCUCAGAACGAACGCUGGCGGCAGGCUUAACACAUGCAAGUUGAACGGGAUUGUUAAGUAGCUUGCUAUUUAACAAGAGAGUAGCGCACUGGUGAGUAACACGUGGGAACGUACCUUUUGGUGGGGGACAACAUCUGGAAACGGAUGCUAAUACCGCAUAAGACCUGAGGGUGAAAGAUUUAUCGCCGAAAGAACGGCCCGCGGAAGAUUAGGCAGUUGGUGGGGUUAAAAGGCCUACCAAACCUACGAUCUAUAG
rnacentral:rRNA from 1 species